AGUUGAUUUUGGAGCAGAUAGCAAACAUGGUCUCUUGUAAAUCAGGUGUUUCUAAGAAGUGCAAGGCUGAAAGCAAAAGGAGGCAACGUCAAAGUGUCAGAUGAACUUGAUACACUCCCGAACAUUGCUAUUCUUGUUUACAAUGACAACUGCCAAUCUUCCCAACCACAGACAAGGCAUCCCCAUCACAAGCCUAACAAAUCUUCCGGUGAUGGAUUUAAAAAAGAUUUAUGAACUU